GAUGAACGCUGGCGGCGUGCCUAAUACAUGCAAGUCGAGCGAACGGACGAGAAGCUUGCUUCUCUGAUGUUAGCGGCGGACGGGUGAGUAACACGUGGAUAACCUACCUAUAAGACUGGGAUAACUUCGGGAAACCGGAGCUAAUACCGGAUGAUAUUUUGAGCCGCAUGGUUCAAAGGUGAAAGACGGUCUUGCUGUCACUUAUAGAUGGAUCCGCGCUGCAUUAGCUAGUUGGUGAGGUAACGGCUUACCAAGGCAACGAUGCAUAGCCGACCUGAGAGGGUGAUCGGCCACACUGGAACUGAGACACGGUCCAGACUCCUACGGGAGGCAGCAGUAGGGAAUCUUCCGCAAUGGGCGAAAGCCUGACGGAGCAACGCCGCGUGAGUGAUGAAGGUCUUCGGAUCGUAAAACUCUGUUAUUAGGGAAGAACAUAUGUGUAAGUAACUGUGCACAUCUUGACGGUACCUAAUCAGAAAGCCACGGCUAACUACGUG
rnacentral:rRNA from 1 species